CUUACAUCUUCUCCCUUCUUCCCGCUAGGGCCUGCUGCCAGGAUCCUGUGGGUUUGGUGUAUUUGCUCCUCCACUAGCUUGCUAAUCUCUCCUCUGGUCCCUCCAAGGAUCAUGUGGGGAGAGAGAGGAAAGAUAAGGGGGAUUGGAAAGAUCUUGUCUUUCCAAUUGUCUGGAGCUGUCAAAGGCUGGCUUUGCCCUGAGUGUGACAGACGUUUUAAGGGGACAAGAGUCCUCUCACAGUGACCCCAGGCUGACAUUCCUACUGCUGUUCUGAAGCGGUGAAGAACUUUGAGAAGAGUGUGACUGGUUGAGUUUUUUUUGUAAAGUCUGCCCUUGGCCAGCCUCACCUGUGCUGGGGAAGGCAGCAGCUGCUGUGCCUUGGUGCCUUGGCUAACACUUCAAUUUUAACUUCCUGUCACGUUAAUAAUAAAUCGACAUGUACGUUUAACCUUUCUCAUUCACCACAUGUGGCCAGGUGCAUUAUCUCACCUGUCCCUCACAGCAAUUCUCUUGAGGUGGCGAUUCUGC
rnacentral:lncRNA from 1 species